rnacentral:rRNA from 1 species
AUUGAACGCUGGCGGCAGGCCUAACACAUGCAAGACGAGCGGAUGAAGGGAGCUUGCUCCUGGAUUCAGCGGCGGACGGGUGAGUAAUGCCUAGGAAUCUGCCUGGUAGUGGGGGAUAACGUCCGGAAACGGGCGCUAAUACCGCAUACGUCCUGAGGGAGAAAGUGGGGGAUCUUCGGACCUCACGCUAUCAGAUGAGCCUAGGUCGGAUUAGCUAGUUGGUGGGGUAAAGGCCUACCAAGGCGACGAUCCGUAACUGGUCUGAGAGGAUGAUCAGUCACACUGGAACUGAGACACGGUCCAGACUCCUACGGGAGGCAGCAGUGGGGAAUAUUGGACAAUGGGCGAAAGCCUGAUCCAGCCAUGCCGCGUGUGUGAAGAAGGUCUUCGGAUUGUAAAGCACUUUAAGUUGGGAGGAAGGGCAGUAAGUUAAUACCUUGCUGUUUUGACGUUACCAGCAGAAUAAGCACCGGCUAACUUCGUG